rnacentral:tRNA from 1 species
CAGGGUAUAGCUCAGUGGUAGAGUGCCUGCUUAGCAUGCAUGAGGUCCUGGGUUCAAUUCCCAGUACCUUCA